rnacentral:rRNA from 1 species
UACAGGGGGUGCAAACGUUGCUCGGAAUCAUUGGGCGUAAAGCGCACGUAGGCGGUCUGUUAUGUCGGAUGUGAAAGCCCUUGGCUCAACUGAGGAAGUGCAUCCGAAACUGGCAGGCUAGAGUACUAAAGAGGGUCGCGGAAUUCCCGGUGUAGAGGUGAAAUUCGUAGAUAUCGGGAGGAACACCGGUGGCGAAGGCGGCGACCUGGGUAGAUACUGACGCUGAGGUGCGAAAGCGUGGGGGAGCAAACAGG